GCUUAGGGAGGAGCUUGCGUCACAUUAGUUANUUGNUGGGGUAAAGGCNUACCAAGACUAUGAUGUGUAGCCGGGCUGAGAGGUUGAACGGCCACAUUGGGACUGAGACACGGCCCAAACUCCUACGGGAGGCAGCAGUAGGGAAUUUUCGGCAAUGGAGGAAACUCUGACCGAGCAACGCCGCGUGAACGAUGAAGUAUUUCGGUACGUAAAGUUCUUUUAUUAGGGAAGAAUAAAUGAUGGAAAAAUCAUUCUGACGGUACCUAAUGAAUAAGCCCCGGCUAACUAUGUGCCAGCAGCCGCGGUAAUACAUAGGGGGCAAGCGUUAUCCGGAAUUAUUGGGCGUAAAGGGUGCGUAGGCGGUUAAAUAAGUUUAUGGUCUAAGUGCAAUGCUUAACAUUGUGAUGCUAUAAAAACUGUUUANCUAGAGUAAGAUAGAGGCAAGUGGAAUUCCAUGUGUAGUGGUAAAAUGCGUAAAUAUAUGGAGGAACACCAGUAGCGAAGGCGGCUUGCUGGGUCUUUACUGACGCUGAGGCACGAAAGCGUGGGGAGCAAACAGGAUUAGAUACCCUGGUAGUCCACGCCGUAAACGAUGAGUACUAAAUGUUGGGUAAAACCAGUGUUGAAGUUAACACAUUAAGUACUCCGCCUGAGUAGUACGUACGCAAGUAUGAAACUUAAAGGAAUUGACGGGACUCCGCACAAGCGGUGGAUCAUGUUGUUUAAUUCGAAGGUACCCGAAAAACCUCACCAGGUCUUGACAUGCUUCUGCAAAGCUGUAGAAACACAGUGGAGGUUAUCAGUUGCACAGGUGGUGCAUGGUUGUCGUCAGCUCGUGUCGUGAGAUGUUGGGUUAAGUCCCGCAACGAGCGCAACCCUUAUUGUUAGUUGCCAGCACGUAAUGGUGGGGACUUUAGCAAGACUGCCAGUGAUAA
rnacentral:rRNA from 1 species